rnacentral:rRNA from 1 species
CUGUAAGUCAGAUGUGAAAGCCCGGGGCUUAACCUCGGAAUUGCAUUUGAAACUGGCAGGCUAGAGUCUUGUAGAGGGGGGUAGGAAUUUCAGGUGUAGCGGUGAAAUGCGUAGAGAUCUGAAGGAAUACCAGUGGCGAAGGCGGCCCCCUGGACAAAGACUGACGCUCAGAUGCGAAAGCGUGGGGAGCAAACAGGAUUAGAUACCCUGGUAG